GAGAAAGAAAAGGAAAUACUUUGAAUUGGAUCUCUCUCUCUCUCUCACAUUCUGACCAAUCACCACCACCAUUGUCUCUUUCCCCUGUAAAAUUUAUUACUCUCUCCUCACCUUUCUCCCCUACCCCCCACAAAAUAUAGUUUUUCCCUUCAUCUUCUUCUUCUUCUUCAAGUGAUCCAACUCCAUUAAUGAUAGUACUAGUAGUUGGGGGAGGAGGAGAACAUAGGAUACUUGAAUUGGAUCUCUCUCUCUCUACAUCUCUCUCUCUCUCUCUCUCUCUCUCUCUCUCUAACUACAGUAUCAAAUUUGUCACCAAUCAUCACCCCACCACCACCACUCCUCUCCUCUCGCAAAAAAAAAAAAAAAAAAAAAAAAAAAAACCAAGCUUUUCUUCAUCAUCUUCUUCAAUUAGAUCCAAUUUUCACAUGAUAGCAAAGUUGUUAGUAGUAAUAAUGAGAUGUAAAUAAUUUGAUUUGGAUCUCUCUCUCUCUCUCUCUCUCAAGCAUCACAUUCUCUCACCCAUCACCACCACCACCACCACCACCACCACCACCACCACCAUUUCCUCUCACCAAAUCACUUUAACCCCCCAAAUUUUCCCCUUAAAAAUCCAAUCUUUACCCUCAAAAACCCCAAAUUUUCCUCAUAAAAAUCCCAUCUUUCUCCUCUCUAGCAUCACAUUCCCUCACCCACCCCCACCACCACCACCAUUUCCACUCAAAAACCCCAAUUUUCCCCCUUUUUGUUAAAAAAAUCCGAUCUUUACUCUCCAAAACCCAAUUUUUCCUCGUAAAAAUCCAAUCUUUGUUGUUGUUCAUCAUCAUCAUCUCCUCCUCCUCCUCCUCCAAUUCAUGUCGGAUUCGGACCUCUCGCGGCGCACCGUCAUCUUCGGCCUCCGCCUCUGGGUCGUCAUCGGCAUCCUCGCCGGCGCCGCCUUCGUCCUCCUCCUCUUCCUCCUCUCCCUCUACUUCACCUCCAAGCGCCGCCCCCGCCCCACCACACCGCCACCACCA
rnacentral:lncRNA from 1 species